rnacentral:rRNA from 1 species
GACGUAGGGCGCGAGCGUUGUCUGGAUUUAUUGGGCGUAAAGAGCUCGUAGGCGGCUUGUCGCGUCGUUCGUGAAAACCUGCAGCUCAACUGCAGGCUUGCGGUCGAUACGGGCAGGCUAGAGUUCGGUAGGGGAGACUGGAAUUCCUGGUGUAGCGGUGAGAUGCGCAGAUAUCAGGAGGAACACCGGUGGCGAAGGCGGGUCUCUGGGCCGAUACUGACGCUGAGGAGCGAAAGCGUGGGGAGCGAACAGG